GGAGAGUGAGCGUGACUGAGGUGAGAGUUGAGCGGGUUUUCUGAGAGAGAGUGAAUAGCAGUGUUGAGGGAGUGAGAGCGUGAGUGAGGUAGUUGUAGUGGAGAGUGGGCGGAAUGAAAAUGAGAGCGUGAGAAUCCGUUAGAGGGAUUUUGUGAGGGUGAGGGACGCGUGGCAGAGAGGAUGAGAGAUUUUUUAGAGAUUUUUUGCUGAUAGAUCCGUUGGGAGUGGAUUGAAGAGGAUCCUAGGAGAUUUUUUUUAUUUCUUUUUUUAGUAUUUAUUUAUUUGUGUUUUUUUUAUUUAAGAAAGAGAAUCCAAUGCAAAUAUAUACAUAUUCUCAUAAUUAUUAAAUACCUAAAUAAUAAAACAUAAAAAACUAAUUAGUAUUUAAUUAACACAAAUUUUAAUCAUUUUAAUUAAAUAACUACACAAAACAUUGACCCAUCAAAAAAAUAAAAACCGGGUGCAAACUUGUUCGGAAAAUUGAACCGGUCACACUAAGAUUAUCAGGACAAAAUAUAUUUAUUAAAAAAUACAGUCUUUUCCUCAAAUUUU
rnacentral:lncRNA from 1 species